GACAACCUAAAAGCCAAGAAUGCGGUUUUUAUGUUUUGAAAUAUAUGACUGACAUCGUCGCACGUGCCAACCCCAACCGUUACAUAGAAGAUCAAAAAGCUUUUGGGGGUAAGAAGCAAUACGAUCCAAAAACAGAAAUUUUACCACUACAGCGAAAGUGGAUCGAACAAUUGAUGGCGGUGAUUCACGGUGACGAUUGAGGUUCAAAGGUCGAAGAAUUUUUCUUCAUUAUGUAAUUUUUAUAGAUUAACUUGUAAUUAGA